rnacentral:tRNA from 1 species
GGGUCUGUAACUCAGCUUGGCCAGAGUGAGAGGCUUUUAACCUCCAAGUCGGGGGUUCAAAUCCCCCCAGACCCA